rnacentral:rRNA from 1 species
UACGAAGGGGGCUAGCGUUGUUCGGAAUUACUGGGCGUAAAGCGCACGUAGGCGGAAUGUUAAGUCAGGGGUGAAAUCCCGGGGCUCAACCCCGGAACUGCCUUUGAUACUGGCAUUCUCGAGUCCGGAAGAGGUGAGUGGAAUUCCGAGUGUAGAGGUGAAAUUCGUAGAUAUUCGGAGGAACACCAGUGGCGAAGGCGGCUCACUGGUCCAUUACUGACGCUGAGGUGCGAAAGCGUGGGGAGCAAACAGG